GUUUAGGGCAAGACAAAGGACAGCCUCUGAAGGGACUGGGAGGGAGAGGGAAGGGCAGGUGCAGAGGGUCGAGGCAGUGCCUAUCACAUGGCCUCUGCUUCCUCUGGAAGUGGCAGGAGAGCAGGUUCGAUGGAGAUGAGGAUGAAGGCCUGCGGAUGAAGGAGAAAGGCGAGUACUCCAGGGAUUCCUGGCAGCUCUGAGGAUCUGGCUGUGACUGGAGAAGAUGACCUUGUCGUGACCGCAGCUGUUGUUGCAGUGGUGGUUGUGGUCGCGAUGGUGGCUUCUCUCCAGAAGCCAGAGCAGCUGGCAUGCAGGAGUGAAGUGCACGGAGCAGCAGUGCCCCAGCGAUGGUUUUACAGGCUUGGCACAAAAGGACUCAGACCAGGGCUGGCACAUCUCCAGGUAUAUUGAAGCUGCUGGGGGUGGGGAGGGGGGGGAGGUUUUAGAGGGAAAAUGAUGGAGGGCUGGGGAAAAAUGGAGCAUGUGCAGUACUGUUUCAGGUUC
rnacentral:lncRNA from 1 species